ensembl:lncRNA
UUGGCAUAGUUUUUUGUAAAUGCUCUCUUUCUGGCCAUAUGAUAAGUGGUUUCAUACGAAUAAACAUGACAUCAAUGACAUCAUUGACUAUCCUAGAAGCAGUUGCUAUUGAUAUGUUAAAUGCAUAUGACAGGAAGGUCGUGGAAACAUUAAGCCUAAGGCGCAUCAGUGUCAGCAUCAACUGCUUAAACUUAUCAAGUGACUUCUUCACAGGGAGGUGGGGACUAAGGAAUGUGAAGAGUACCAACAGUAUGUGGUAGGCCAGUGAAAAAUAAAACCUUUUCAUCAUUAUCAACAAAUGCACUUUGGUCAUAGGUAGUGGACAAAUGUGCAACAUCAGAGCACAACUGGAUGUUUUCAGUUCUAAGAUUUUGAAGUUUGCUGGUCAUAGCCUCAAUUAAAUCACCAGUCAAUUCACUUUGAGUCUCUGUGCUGCACAAAUUGCUGCUGAUAUAACCACUUGUAGUAGGGUCAUCAGUCUCAGAAUCAUCAGUCUCUGCAGCAACUCCAGCACCAGCAGCAGCAUCAGCAGCAGCUUCUCUCAGUCUCUGCUGGGUUCUAUUCCCACGACGGCUGUAGCGUGAUGAUGUCCCAGCUUUUUCAGGAGACCUUUGCUGACCUGUCAUUCCGACAGAUGGCACCCAAUCUGGGUCAUCCUUUUGAUAAAGGUCAGACCUUGUACCUGGAAUACAAUGAGAAAUACAGCACAUUGUAGCUCUACAUUUUAAGAACUGUGUUGCUACUGUAGCAGGCUAUUAAAUAUGAUCCUAAUCAGAUAUUAAGUCAAUAAUGCAACAUAAAAACAUGUCACUUACCUGACAAGAAAUGGGCCGAACAAAUUCGGACGUUGUCCAGAUUUUUGCCACGUAGAUCCUGGUUCAGCUUCGCUAACCACAAGCGCCUCCUUUCCUCUGACAACUUUUGGCAUUGUUCUCCUUGAUUAGUUAUAACUUUUGGCAGUCUGUAAUACUCCAAAUGUUUUUCGCGGUCUGACCGAUUGGUACAGCCAAAAACAAGGCAAUAAUUUACCAUUUUCCACGAAGAUAUUCGGGCUUCGAGCACGAAGCUGCGGCGUGCGCUUUAUUUACCUUGGCGUGCGGUUUAUUUACCUUGCCGAGUACCUCCAACAUGGCGACUGCCGGAUUGAUGACGCGCUGAUGACGCGCCGUGAAAACCCUCUAUAAUAAUUUAGGUCACCAUAGCAACGCCGGUAAACAAACCCCGCCGAAUAGUCGAAUCUCUGGACUGAAAAGGCAGAUCUGAUUCGACUCAGAAAAUUCAGAGUCGGGGACCCUGAAUGAUUCGGUAAACUGGCAGUUUACACAGAUUAAGAUGUUCAAAUGUAUUUAAAAAAGGUUAAGCUAAAACAUGCUUAGAUAAAGUUGUUAAAUUGUGUUGUUUAAAAACCAAAAAGAUGUUGUAAUGUUUCAGAAAUAUGUUUAAAAAAUAUGUUAAAAAUUUGUUUCAAAUGUUUCAAAAAUAUGUUACAAAUGUUUUAAAAUUAUGAUCGGAGAUGUUUGAAAUGUGUAAAAUAAUUAAAAUAGCUUUCAAAACACAGGUAUUUAGAAAAAAAAAUUGGGGGGGGGGCUCAGCUGAAUUUUUUUCUCUGAGGGGGGGCUCACUCUCUCACACUUUGAAAACCCCUGGUUUAGACUAUUGUUUAGAGAAUUUAGGCAACAAUUCUAGGUUUUGUUUUG